GAGAAGGUCCCCAAGUCAGGAGAGUCUCUCGGCGCCACGGGUUCCUCUGGGAGUGCGCCCUGGCCUUGCCUUAGGGUUUCAGCCUCGGAGGACCGGUUCUGGGCAGUGGAGAAGGGACCUGAGUUCUGCCUUUCUUUAUCCUCAUCUCUACUCAAGAGCAUACAUUAAUUUUAGGAAUCCUGAUGACAUCCUUCUUUUUAGAGAUCGUUUUGAUGGAUAUAUCUUCCUUGACAGCAAAGAUCCAGAAUAUAAGAAGUUUUUAGAAACCUACUGUGUGGAGGAAGAGAAGACCAGUGCCAACCCUGAGACUCUGCUGGGGGAGAUGGAGGCGAAGACAAGAGAGCUCAUUGCUAGAAGAACCACACCUCUUUUGGAAUAUAUUAAAAAUAGAAAAUUAGAAAAGCAGAGAAUUCGAGAAGAGAAGCGAGAAGAACGGAGGAGGAGAGAGUUAGAAAAGAAACGUUUGCGGGAAGAGGAAAAAAGAAGAAGAAGAGAAGAAGAAAGAUGCAAAAAAAAA
rnacentral:lncRNA from 10 species